CUAGGGCUUCAUUUAUUUACAAUUUUGACUCCCCAAUUUCUUUGACUCCCCCCGCUGCAACUCCAGUACGGACUCGGGAGAGGCGAAGCUCGAGAGCCGUGCGUCUUCCGAAAAAUGACCCCGCCAAGUCACACUGUUUCUUGACACAAUGCUUGCUUCACCCGGAAGCCAGCCGCACCAAUGUGUCAGAGGAAACACCGUACAUCAGGCGACUGUCUUAGCGUGCAUGCGCCCGGCCCGCUCAUUAGAGCGCAAUGGGACAAGGACGUCCCUGCCGACCAAACCCUCCCUUAACCCGGGCGAUGCUGGGCCAAUUGCACACACUUAACUGAAAAUGAAAAUGGACAAUUCAAUGGAUUUGAUUCAACAAAGAGGUAUUCAGAGGAGGAGGCAUACCAAGGAAUGUCAAUUGACCCUCCCUACUCCUCUGAUGAAUAUAACAGGAAACUGGUUCAUUCACCAAAACUGCAAAAUCAUUGUGGCUAUGGAUACGGAGAACAUCAACACAUUAACAUCAACAGGCCAGAGGAUAUACCUAUUGGACUUGGGGCUCUGCUGGGAGUUUACCUCAUAUUUACAUUUUUUUAUUCUGCUUUCCCACUAAAAAUCCUAAUAAACACUGAGAAUUAAAAGAUUGUGUUAUUGUUGUAACGCACAUGAAUAAUAAUAAUAAUAGGGGAUGGGGUGGUUAA